GGCAAUUGUAGGAUAGUCCAGUACUGUGAGGUCUAUGUGCCUGUGAUAAGGAGAUUCUAAGGUAUGGUGGCAGCACAUGAUAGAGUACAUAUCCAGCCUCGAGGACACAGGAAAGGCUCUUAUGGGAGGUGACAUCUACGUUGACCUGAGGAUGAGUGGCAAUUAGUCAGGUAAGGGGGAGGGGAGACACGGGGAGAGAAGCAGAUUCCAGGCAGAGAGAACAACCUCUGUGAAGGCCCAGAGGUGAAUGAAAGUCAACAGUGUUCAGGAUAGAGAGAACUUACAAUGCCAGAACUAUGGAGACCAAACAUGAUGCCAGGGUGGUAAGAAAGGACUGGAUCUUGCCAGCCAGGGUGAGAAAUAUCCUGAGGGCAGCGAGACGUUGUGUAAGGAGGGGAGUAAACCAAAAUGACUUGCUCUUCCCAAAGAUGUCUCUGGAUGGAUUGUGGAGAAUGGGCCAACCUUAGGGACAGAGGACUCUUACAGUGAUCUAGGCACCCAAACUAGAGAUGGAGGUAUAGCUACUAAGGUUCAAGAGAGCUGGAAUCAAGAGCUGAAACUUGGCAGUUUAUUUGAUUGGAGAGUGGUGACAGGGAGAAAGAAAUUCGAGAGAUAAGUUUUCUGGAGACACCUGAUGGCAUCUUUAACUGAGUAGAAAACAGAUCUGUGAGGUUAGAGAGAGGAAAGAUGAUGGUUUCCGUCUGGAACAUUUGGUUUUGAAAAGCCUGUGGGACAUGGGUUAGAGUGUAUGGACGUGAAACUUGGAAAAGAAAUUUGGGCUGGAGAGAAAAGACCUGAAAGUUGCUGGCAUAAAAGUAGUGGUUAAAGUGGGAGAUUUAUUUUUACAACAAUCAUUAAGGCAGAUAUUUCUCUCCCUGUUUUCAGAAGAGGGAAGCAAGGUUUGGAGAGCAUAAAUAAUUUGCUCAAAAUCAGUCAGGGAGUGGUGGAGCCAGGAUUUUUAACUGGUACGUUUCCACUGCACACCAUUGUUUCUGGGUAAAUGCACUGUUUCUGAGUAAUCUGAUUGUACUGCUCCUAUGGCUUUUUUCCUCCCACAUCUGAGAAUUCUGGAAAACAUUCCUCCUUGUCACAGAAACUAACCUGGAGAAAUGUCACUGUUCACAGCUCAAAACUUCUUUUUUGGAAGCUAAGAUAAAACGCAUCAACUUCUUCAUGAGAGUUUCCUUUCAUCUGGACGGAAUGAUGCCAAUGAUGCUUGGUCUAUGAAAGGAGCCCUGAGUGUCCUUCCAAACCAGACCUGUAGUGGGGACAACCCUUGCCAUUAUGUUAACGGUCUACCUCCUCGCGCACUAAGCUGAUAUUGCACACGUUAGAUAAGUGGUGACAGAAGCAGCCAACCCAUUCCACUUGCUGAUACAAGGCUGGCUCCAGGACUUCUGGCUCUGUGUUUGACUCAUCCUCCAUCCUGUCACUUGUCUCCUCCUCAUGGAGAUUCCCAAAUCUCCCUCAACCUGGCCCACCAACUCCACCUCCUUUCUCAGUCCUGAUAGCACCAGAGUUGAAGCCUUUUCUUAUUUUCCAUUCAGAGGGAAACUGGAUGUUCUUUGUGAUGACCUCAUCUCUCUUGGCAUCCCCCUUCCCACCCCCAUCUCCCAGGCACUGUCAUUUUCAUUUGCAUGGCCUCUGGGGUCUUCAACUAUGGAGGGACCUGCUUCAUAGCUGACACCAAGGCUCAAACUCUAACCUCUCACACUUUCUCAUAUAACAUCUCAUCUGCUGGUGGAAUACAUUUGUUUGUGAUUACAGGCUGCUUACAAUACCAUUGCACAGGGCCUUAUGUUAUGGCCCAGCGCCAUGAGAAAACACAUUAGUAAUUUUUUAUGACCCUAAUGCAACCAUGCAGGAUUUCCCUAAAACAGAAAACAUGAAGGGAUUUUAUUGUCUUGCACUAUUAGACAUCCCUUAUGGCUGAUGCAUGUAUAUUAGAACUAACAGAACAUAGGAUUUUCCAGACAUUUUGGGCUGAGAGGUUUCUGACUCUAGUUAGUGAACAUCCCUUGUUUAUCUGCUCUGGGGGACAUAAAACACACAAGGAAAUUACAAACAAAAGGCAUCAAGGUUUUGAAUGUUUCUCUUGAUAUAUUAACUUACUCCUGGGCUUAAAUGAGAUGCUCUUAGUAAGCCGCUUCUGAAAGUAACUGUGAAAUGAUAAAAAUUGGAAGAGACUGGUGAAUUCUCAAAGAUUCUUACUGCACCUCUUUGAAAAAUAGCAUACAACAUGGACUUCAGUUAGACCAGGACACCAUCUGGCUCUCCUAUGGGGUGGCUCUCUGUCUCUGUCUCUGUCUCUGUCUCUCUCAUGCACGCACACACACACACACACACACACACACACACACACACACACAAGCACACACAUGCAUACACCCCAUCAAAUAAAAAUGUCUAAAAAGAGAAUAGUGGACUUUCAUUUGGCCUUAAGAAUAAAUACAUACAUUAUUUCUAUAUAAAAAAAACAUUCUAUGUUUGGCACUGUUAAUGGUGUUCAAUGUCUACCCAGGAGUUUUUUGAUAAACUAGCAGGAGAGAAGUUGAGAGUUUCUAGCUCUCUCAGAGGAACUACACUGGAACAUUUUAAUUACUUUUCUGUGAAGGACAUGCUCAUUCUAAAUCUGGCAGCUCUUAGAGGCCUCUCCACCCAGCUGGGAGUGUGUUCCCAAGUGCCCAGGGGGUGAAGGUAAGUCAGCCAAGAGUAUGAGAAGACAACAGACCCCAGGCAAUGAACAAACCCUAUCUAAUAAAAGGGCUUAAAUUAGAAUAUUUGGAAACAUUUUUAAUACAGAGUGUUAGUAGUUGACACGGUGGUGUCAAUUCUUUAAACUCCGCAUAAAAGUGUGACAGCUACCUUUCCCAACUGCCUAUCAGCCUUCAAAUACAUGCAUCCCAUUGAGUGGCAAAGGGUGAGAACUUGGCCAAGCAUUUCCGUAGUAAGAUCCAUGGGAAAAACAUAGUAGACAAAGCAGAAUAAUAAAGUACAAUGAUAUUUGGGUUUCACAUCAGCUUUGCUAUGGUUAUAGUAACAAAUUUUCCAAGGCUCAAACAGAUUUAACCUCCCUUAAAAAAAAUAGUAUAUUGUGACAUACUCUGGGGAAAGUGCUAUUCAUGGCAUCUUACCCCUCACAGAAUGGAAAAGAUGGGUUUGCAUUCUAUCACUUCACCUGUCAGCUUCCCUGGGGUUGAGUGUUACCCACCUGUUUCCCAUGGCUUCCAGGGAACACAAAUGGGCUCGCCCUCAGUGCACAAUUGCACUGAUAGGCAACAUGGAAAGUGCCCUUGAAAUAAUAAGACUGAUUUGUGUGUUGCCUUUUUCAUAUCUGGACUCAUCUACGUUGUCAUUUCUACACAUCGGUUUUACUGAAGGCUAUGUUCUCAAUACUAUUCUGUAAAUACUGAAAAGUAUUUUCAUUGAACCAACCAGAUACUGUAAAGGAGCUCCAGCUCAGCCACCCUUCCAGCACCUCACAGGAAGAAUCUGCCAUCAGAAGGAACUGGGAUUAUCUAGAAGCUAAUCCCAGGAGUUAGGCUUUAGGCCAUCCGUUCCCUUGGCAUGUAUUCCUCCUUGGAGAAAAGGUCUUUUCUCUUUUCAUUCACUGGACCUAUGAUUGAAGUGGAUAGGUAACCCCCAAGGGCAUACCAGAGACUCACUAAUCAACCCCAUUCUGAAGGAGAGAGCACUGCACUUUUAGUAUAUGUUGAGGGUAUAUACAUGACAGACACAGAUACGGUGUGUGGCAACUUGAUAUUGACUGCGUUGUAAUGAAUAAAAUGUGUCCAGGGCUUACUGGACUGGACAAUGCCUCUGAGAAGUAUUGUCAUGAAAUUAUGACUGGAAGCACAUUUUAAUCGUGUUUGGCUCAUUGUAGCUCAGUUUUAGAUCAUGUAAUCUGUGGAGAGCAUCCAUUGAUUGGCAUAUUCUCCUAAAUUCAGUUAUAGUUUAUGAGAUGUGGAAGAGAGAAACUCCACUGACAGCAAUUACCUAGGAUUCAUAGGACUUUGCUUACUUCGCAAUGCUCUUUCAGUGGUUGACUUUUGCUUGCUCCUGUCCAACCCAGGUUUGGCUAUUCUUAGACCUGGAAUUAAAUCACUGAAGUCUAGUCUUCUCAGGUUUCCCUCCUCCCUGGGAGAGUAGAUUUAGAGUGAUCAUAAGAAAGUCAACUCAUCCCUAAUCAUUUGGCCUGAAGAGACCCAGAAUGCUCUUCCCUCUUUCUUUUACAAUCCUUCCAAUAAAACUUCUCUACUUUUUUUAUCCCUAGGUGGAGAGCGCUCUCAGAGAGUUCACACAAUGAUUCAUUUCUCCUGGGCUAAAAUUGGACUCAUCCUGAGCAUCUUUGCAUGGAAGACAUUCCAGCAUUUGGAGGGUCUCAUCACAGAUUGGUUGCACUGGAUGCUCUGGUGUACAGCAUGGUGAUGAUGCUUCUAUACAUUACUCACUGCUCACCAUGGUAAGAAAACUGAUGAUUUGAGAGAUAAGUAACUUGUCCAUGGCCCCCACGUUGUCAAAUAGCUUGGCCAGGCUUCAAACCUAGUUCUGCUGGAGGAUACCUGAUAUAUGGUAAUAUUGUAACAAAUAUUAACUCUUGUCAUUUAUUAUUGCUAUUGGCUUCAGAAAGAUAAUAUCCAAUUCAGAUAAGCACACUACCAAGAGAUGAAUUUUAUGUAGAUUAAUGGAGGUAUUUCAUGUAAAGAAGGAAGGAAAUAUACUGGUUUUCUUGUAGGAAAAGCAGGAACCCAAGUCCCACAAAUAUUGCUCAAACUCAGCAUGAAGUUGACCUUAGCUUCUUAGCCAUAGGUUAUUAUAGAAGCCUCCAAAAUACAUAGUUUUAGAUAUCAAAUGUACAUUGAUUUAUAAGCAGAAUAAGAGGUCUUUUUGGUGGAAAUAUCUUCUGUAGGGAUAGUGUUAGAAUGCAUUUACACCCGCUCUAAAACCCAAAAUUCUUUUCUAAAUAAGACCUUAGAAGUCUUUGCCCUAGUCAAAGUGGCCCCUAUAAUAUGGCCAAAGAUUAAAAUUUAUGUUCACAAUUGUUUUAAACCAAGAUAUUACUCUCUGGCUUCUCAAUCAUAUUUUUAUUCUUUUUGUACAUCUCAUCAAAGCAUUUCGAUUAGAACAAGUCAUUGAGCAGAGAAGCCAAAAUAAAUAGUUGAUUUAAAUUACUACAGUGAAGGGACCACAGUUUCAGUCAGGCCUAAGUUAUGGGGACUUUUAAUGAUUCUAUGAGGUUCUAGUGUUUAUGGAAUUGGUUUGUACAUUGAUUGUUUUUUUCUUCCUGAUUUAUUUCUGAUUUCUAAAGUCAACCCAUGAAUUUCUUAGUCUGUCUGGUCAGAAUUUUUUGAUGGCUUCUCAGAGGUUCCAGACUCUGAGAACCUCAUAGAUUUGCAAACCUCAUGGUUUGCUUUGCCUUGGAACUCAUUAACUCCUGUCACUUAGCCUGAAGCUGGUGACCUCUGCCUAGCAACCUGGCCACAUUACCCAUGUUUGCUAUAUAAGAACCAGAGGUGCCAUCCAGCUCCACUGUUUCCAUCUCUGCUUCUGGAAUGGACCAGACAAUGCUGCAGUCAAAUGGGAAUAAAGCUAGAGUACAAUCCAUCCACAAUGUAAUCUUCGUUCAUGUCUUUCUUGGUGUAUCAGGUGAUCUGGGUGGAUCAGGGGACAUCAUGGAGUGGUUGAGUGCACAAAUUUUGGGCAUGGGCAGAAUUGGUUCCAAUGUCAACGGCCACCUACGAGUCACAUGACUCUGGGAAUGUUACUUAAUCAACCCAGACCUCAGUUUCCUUAUUCAUUUUUUUUCUUCCUUAUUUGUUAAAUGGAAAUAACAACUAUGUUGCGGGUUUGCUGAAAAGAUUAAGGAAGUAACAUAGGUGAAGCAUCUGGGAAAGUGUCUGACAUGUGGUAGGUGCCUAAUAAUGAAGACCGUAAACAGAAGUUUGAUAACUUCACCUAAUAUAACUUCCAGUGCUUGCUGUGUGGUUGAAAUUUCAUUUGCAACACAACAAAGCCUGCUUAUAUUUCUACAGGGAAAAAAUACCAUGGCAGCCUGAUGUGCAAUUGGGAUUUAACCUCACAUAAGACCCAAGAGUCCCUAUGGAGGGCAUUCUCCAUGUGUUUCAAACUUGGUGCAUCAUCCACCAAGCAUGUUCCCUCCGGAAAAGCAGGAGACCGCCCAAGGAACAAAUGCGAAAACAGACGCCUAUGGCUUUAAGAGAAACAGUCAUCCUGGAGCGUGUUGCAGGUGUUAAGGAAAAGAAUGUUUCUCGUGCCUUGGUUCAGGGGAUUCCCAAAGGCACACUGUGUCUGCUUCCAACAGCCCGCAGCCUUCAAGGUAAAGAAAGUGGAUCCCAGAGUGGCUAAGAGAUGAGGCAAAACCAGGAUGAAUUUGAAUUCUCUAGGCAAAGCCUGCAAGAGGAGCCCACUGCUCCACUGAAUUCUCCUGUACAAGUUGAAGCUCAUGUGGAACAGAAUCUACAGUGAGAGAUACUGAAUGGUCCUUUUGUAUACUUUGAUCUGAAAGCUUCCCAACCUCUAAGGCAUAUUUUAAAAGUAGAACUAAAGAGAGAGACAGAGAUGCUGAGGAAACUGAGCCAUAAAGCAUGCUGUGCAGGUGAUACAUUGAAGAACCACUCAGCCCACAUCACACGUGUUCCUUAGCCUGCCUGCCUCCAUUGGAGGGCUAUCCCAAUAAAUCCAGAUUGCCUGCUGAGAUGAUCAUCAAAAAGAAUUUCUUAUCUGAAGUUGAAAAAAGAUUCUUGGAAUCCUUUCUGCCAAUAAAACUUGGAAGUUUUGCAACAACACCAACAGGGCAAGCAACUUAGACGUGAGGCUGCCGUGUUGCCUGUAGAUUCGGCCCGGGUCCCACCCUGUUUGUCCCAUGGAAACAAAUCUGCACAACUAGGAUUACCCUGCACACCACCACAACUGACAAGAGGGCCAAGAACAGACAAAGGAGCCAGGAGUUCAAUUGUCUAAGCAGGGGUUGGAGAUGUCUCUGCAAGACAGGCUACUUGUCAUAGUUGGGAGCCCUGGAGCUGCCGUAAGCACAGGGCACAAAGCCCCUGGACGGAGAAAUCGCUGAGCCAGGCCCUGUGGUCAGCUGUACAAGAACUGCCUCAUUUAAGCCUCAAAAAGCCCCACAGAGGAAGCAGUAUGUGAAAGUAAUGGGGACCAAAGAGACGAAUAAGGAGACAAAGAGAGACAAGGCCAUGGCAAAAGCAGAGGCUGCAGAAGUAAGUAGGAAUCACCAUCCAUGGGGUUUGGCUGGUUUGGAAAAAGAGUAAGACAGGACAGAGUUUACACAUGCGGAGAAAAAAGAUAGGCUGAAGUCCU